GCGCUUCGGCUUCUAAUGUUGAGAUGC
rnacentral:sRNA from 1 species